rnacentral:rRNA from 1 species
UGCCAGCANHMGCGGUUACACUUCAAGCUGCAACUUAAUUUUUUGGUUGUGUGAAAAAAUAUCGAGGAGAAACAUAUUUAAGAAUAGUUUAACGUGUCCCACCCAAGAAGCUAUCUAGCAUACCCCUCUUUGUAGUUACACGAACGUUGAAUUUAGAACCAGGAUUAGAUACCCUAUUACUAACAACCCUAAAUAUACCACCAGGGCAUUAAGGACAUUGUUUAAAACCCAAAGAGUUUGGCGGUGUCGCGGUACCUCCGGGGGAAUCUGGGAAAGAACCGAUAAUCCACGUGAAUUCCACCUUUCCUCGAAAUCAGCUAUUAUACCUUCGUCUUCGGUUUAUAUAGAAAUAUCUUCUAAAAUAUGCAUAUAGAUUAAAGUCUUUCAAGGCAGAUCGAGGUGUCGCUAAUGGAAAGGAUACCCUUGACUACUUUAUCUUGGGAUUACUGAAAGGAAUUCUUUGAAAGAGAUCUUAAAAACGUACUCGGCAGUAAUAUUCUUUUAAAUAGGUUUAUGAAAAAAUAUCCGCGACAUGUACAAAUCGCCCGUCAAUCCUUCCAGCUGCGGUAGGAUAAGUCGUAACACAGUA